CCACCAUGUUCUCUAACUUCUAGUCCACGCGUAUUUGUCUCCUGGAGAGAGCUGAAGACAACAGAGGGCUUUAUUCCAUUCAGCCUACUGGUAGAGUGAGGAGGUAAAGCAAAGAAGCUGCAAGGCAUGAAGAGUAGGUAUUAUGAGAAUGUAAAAAUAAGAUUACUUCAACCAAAUCAAAAAUUCACCCUCAGAGAACAAGACAGAAGAGGUCAGAGGGUUUUAUUCAAACAAACUUCCACUGGAUUUAAUUUGGGCAUAUUUGAAUUAAGACUAGCUAAAAAUCUCUCCAUGCAUUGGACCUC